ACCGUGGUAAUUCUAGAGCUAAUACAUGCGCAAAUACCGGACGCAAGAAUGGUAGCAUUUAUUAGAUUUAACCAUCACAUGGUGAAUCAUAGUAACUUAGCUGACCGCGCGCAAGCGUGGUAAAUCAUUCAAGUUUCUGCCCUAUCAGCUUUCGAUGGUAGUGUAUUGGACUACCAUGGCAGUCACGGGUAACGGAGAAUUAGGGUUCGAUUCCGGAGAGGGAGCCUGAGAAACGGCUACCACAUCUAAGGAAGGCAGCAGGCGCGUAAAUUACCCAAUCCCGAUUCGGGGAGGUAGUUACAAGAAAUAGCAACUCGGGCGGUUAUCCGUUACGGGAUU
rnacentral:rRNA from 1 species